AACGAACGCUGGCGGCAUGCCUAACACAUGCAAGUCGAACGAGACCUUCGGGUCUAGUGGCGCACGGGUGCGUAACGCGUGGGAAUCUACCCUCAGGUUCGGAAUAACUCAGAGAAAUUUGAGCUAAUACCGGAUGAUGACGUAAGUCCAAAGAUUUAUCGCCUGAGGAUGAGCCCGCUUAGGAUUAGGUAGUUGGUGAGGUAAAGGCUCACCAAGCCGACGAUCCUUAGCUGGUCUGAGAGGAUGAUCAGCCACACUGGGACUGAGACACGGCCCAGACUCCUACGGGAGGCAGCAGUGGGGAAUAUUGGACAAUGGGCGAAAGCCUGAUCCAGCAAUGCCGCGUGAGUGAUGAAGGCCUUAGGGUUGUAAAGCUCUUUUACCCGGGAUGAUAAUGACAGUACCGGGAGAAUAAGCUCCGGCUAACUCCGUG
rnacentral:rRNA from 1 species